UACGGGGGGGGCAAGCGUUGUUCGGAAUUACUGGGCGUAAAGGGCUCGUAGGUGGCCAACUAAGUCAGACGUGAAAUCCCUCAGCUUAACUGGGGAACUGCGUCUGAUACUGGAUGGCUUGAAUUUGGGAGAGGGAUGCGGAAUUCCAGGUGUAGCGGUGAAAUGCGUAGAUAUCUGGAGGAACACCGGUGGCGAAGGCGGCAUCCUGGACCAACACUGACACUGAGGCACGAAAGCUAGGGGAGCAAACAGG
rnacentral:rRNA from 1 species